AUGUUUUGUAAGGCUUUUGAACUCCUCACCCACCUUCAGUUUUUGGGGUUCUGAUUUGUUUGGGCAGGUGUCAAUCAUUUUAUGUAAUUCGGGAUGAACCUGUGGGAUUGUCAGGGGGCGGGGUUAAUAGAGAAAAGUACGGAGACGAGAAAAAAAAAAAGAAAAAAAAAAGAUGCUGCCGGAAAAAGAGUAAAAAAGACGACAUGUCAUCUCCGAGAGAACUUCCAGUUAACUUGAUAAGAAAGUAUUAUAAGUUAUCGUUAUCAAGCGGGGGGGGUUAUGUGAGUGGUUGUUCAUUUUGUUAAAAUUGUAACCGAGCGUGUUUUGGAAGUGAGGGUUUCGCGACUGGGGACUGUUGCUAGCGGUUAGCAUCGCAGGCUGCUAAUCAGGAGACGCCGGCGGAUGAGGUUGGACGUUGCCACGUUCUGCUGCAUGUCGGAGGAGCCAGAGCAGGACCAAGCAUUGGGACGGGCCAGAGCCCUUGAGAGAGAGUGUAACCACAUCUCCGUUCACUCCAAUGGACCAUUCUCCUCCCCAAUCAAUGGCGGAUCAUGGAGCCUCGCAAUAGUUCCCGGAAGUGAGCAGCAGCGCAUUAGAAUAGCAGCAGAUUGGAUCAAUGGACCGUCUGUUGCACUUAUGAAGGGUCUGUGGAUCCAUCUGUCUGUCACGCGACACAGAGGAGUCUUGACGACCAGAUGCUCACGUUCACAGCCGAGGGAUUUGAAACCACCUUACCCAGUAGCACAGUCGGCCCUGAAAUAGGGUGUUGCUGGGGUGUCGGAGGAUCACACCCUUUUAUGCUUCCCACCUGCUCCGAAACUCACCCUAUACUGUGUCACGAUAUAGCCACACACACUGUCUCUCUCUCUCGCUCACACAGACGCACACCCAGUCGGAGUACCUCUAUAUAGACAAAGAGCACAAAGCACAAAGGUGAUGUAGUGACAGAUGCUCCUGUCACAUACUUAGCAUAUCUCCACCUCCAAAAUAGUUCAGGACUCGAUCUGCCUCUCUCGCUUCACGGAAACCAUCAGUGCCACUCUUCGUAACUCAUUAGUUUCCACUCGAUCUGACAGAUAAGCGCUUUUAAAAACCACAAUCCUUCACCCAAUAUUUAUCCAAUCUGACCAAAUAUUAUAAUUAAUGCGUCUGUCUCGCCUCUCCUCUCCUCUCUCCUCCAGGCCAAUACAUAUCCCCCACUUAUCUCCCUUCCCUCCCACCCUGCCUAACCUUUCAGUGCCAAGUUCACAGAUAGAGAGAAAGUACUUCCUGCGAGAGGCCGGGCCGGCUGCCAGAGAGACUGAUCCACCAAUCUGACACGUUAAUGAGAUCCUGGCCCGUAGCACUGGAGUGUCAGGCCUCCUCCACUGCAGCAUCAGCCCUGGCGUGACCUGCAACACACACACACACACACACACACACACACACACACACACACACACACACACACACACACACACUUACAGAAAUAACCACAUACACACAUGCACAUCUCUACUCAUAUGUGUAAUUUUUUUCACACUUGCAACCCGGAGAAAUUGAGGCACAAAUGAAGCCGAGUUUCUCCACACACACACUCUUUGAGAGGAGGGGGUUUCAGCUCCUUAAAUCUGUCUAAUUAAAACACCAAAUCCCUCUACUCCCCUCACCCACCAACCCAAUCCUCACUUCGCAGCCACACACACACACACAUACGCUCUCGCACCCCCCGCCCUCCUCCAACCUCCGCUGCCGCCACCACCCCCGAUUCCGCAGGAGAAAUGAUUAUUAGGAAUUUAAUGGGGGAACGUUUCCCAUCCCACACCAUCUGGGGCUUGGGAAUGGCACGGAAUUUGAGGAUGCUUGCCGACGUGGCGGGGAACAUUAUUUUCAUUUUUCUUGACUGGUGCUCAGAUUUUCAGACACUGCAGGAAGAAGAAGAAAAAAGUCUCCAGAUUACAAUUAAAUUACCAUAAUAUAUUACAAAAUAAAAAUACAUAUAAAGAUGAA